UUCUAUUUUAUUCGUAUGUGCUAAGGUGAACAGCAGCUGCAAAUGACAUAACAUUCCAAAAAUCAUCCAAGAGAGAAUCAACUAUAUUAUGGUGUUCUUGUCUGAACUGUUCUUAAAGGUGCAUAACAACAGGUGCAUACUUGUAUGUGUACUCCUCCCAUUGUAUGAGGAUAAUUUCAACCUGUCUUCUACUAAAAAGCAGCCUCUGGUGGCCUCUAUGGUUUUAGUGCACAAGAGGAACAAAAAAGGCAAGAAGAUGGAGUGACUCGAAAAUAUGUGCUUCUCCCUGGAACAAUAAUGAUUCAGUGAGAAAGCAAAAUCAUGCUGAGACUGAAUGAACUACAUACAGCCAAUUUAAUGCAACUAUCUAAAAUGAUAUGGGAGACAGAAAACAGUGCUUCCAGAAGAAUGAUGGUAGGAAACCAAACUCUUAAUUAAUAUGCCUUCACCACUUCUACUGUACAACUGGAAAGAAGAGAGGUUUCAGGGAAGACUAGGAUGGAACUAAACCUCCCCAUUUGCAUUUUACAAGUAAGGGUGUCAAGGGUAUUGGUGUGUGGUGGUGUUGCAAAGAAAAAAAGUUCCAAACAAGUCAUCACUGCUAAAAAAGUAAAAGGAAAUGAACAGAUCUGGUUCAGGGUCUAUUGCAGAACUACAGUUUUGUGGGGCAUAUUCACCAAUCUAUUUUCUGACACCUGAAGAAUGUUUCAUUUUACCUACUGUAUAGCAUCUGAUAUGUCAUCUGUGUUUAGACAGAUGGGUUUAGUCAGACGACUCCUAAGAGACUGUGUACCUUUGAUCUUGAAUAUAAUUCAGUAUGAUUACUCAUUCUGUUUAAUUAGAAAUGGGAACAUGUAGUUUACAUGUUGCUCUGCAGAUGUGUGUAUCUUCAUUGUGAACUAAGUUUAUCCAGAGUCUGCAAAUCAGUUUUCUAAAUGCAAUUGCCUAAUGUCUUUAUACACCCAACAAGAUGCUGACAGGCACAUCACAGGCAUUUUGAGAGAUUCUUGCCUUUCAAGAGCAGCAGCUCUUGAAACUAGGUGACCCUACUGAAUUAGUCACUUGUAUUUAACCAACUGAAUCUCACCUUUGAUUUCUGGAUUAGAUGUAGACCUGGAAAAGAUACUGAGCUCAACAUAUUGAUCAUGGCUGAGGUACAACUGCACAGGCACAACAUAGAUGUAGUUCUUGGUAUCUAAGACAUACUGCACAUUAAAAAUGAAGGCAGCAUAGGAAUCUUUGGGGUUAUUUAGAUAAGUGGAUGAAGAAGACUUUUGAUCAAUAAUUUGAGAAAAUAAAUACAUUACAUCAACUCUUGGCAUUCAAGCUUUAGUCUUCCAUUUAUGUAGUUCAAGUGUAUUUGUAUGUCAUACAUGUUGAUCUAAUAGCCCUUUUUCAUGACAUUAAAGGCUUCAAUACUAUCUGUUACUCCUAAGAUAAUCACAAUUUCUAGCUAAAUAUUGAAUUACAGUUAUCUUUCUUAUUAGUUAUACUUACAGAAGAGUGUAAGGCAAUCUACCUCUUCCUUUGUCCUCUUCCUCUUUCUGUUUCUCUUUCUCUUUUGCUUCUCCUUUUGCUUCUUCUUUCUUUACGCCAUAGUAAAUUUCAUAUCUAAAGUGUUAAACAUUAUACUUCUGUACAUAAUAUUCUGAAAAAAUAAUCUAGUAUGUUCCAACACAUGUAUCAAGCCAUACACAAAGUCAAAUACUGUUUGACAGUCCAUAAAAACAAGCAAAAGGAAACAAUAAUAAAACUUUUCUGUAAACUACAAAUCCCAUCAAAAUAAAAAGAUAAAAAGAAAUAUUUUAAGUCUAUCACCUAUCAGAGAAGUCUACUGAAAGAAAUCUAUUAGUCAAGGCCAGUGGUACAUAAUGAAUGGUAUUGUUCUCUUUAUAUCUCAGAAACCCUCACAGGUGUACUAUUCUGAAAUAUUUUCUUUCCCUGAGUAUCUCAAUGAUAAUUGAGAGCUAUUUGCUCAAAUGUUCUGUGACUGAUCAUUUGCACAUUACUGAAUAUGAUGAAUUUUGGUGACCAUAUCAUAAAAAAACAAUUCUAUUGACUGUUAUUUGAUGAGUAAAUACAUAAAUUCAGUGGCUUGGGGAAAAAAAAGUCUGUAGAUUUAUUGUUAUUUUUUAGUGAAUAUACUUAAUGAAAAUAAA
ensembl:lncRNA